GCGGCUUCUACAGUAUUUUUCUCUCUAUGGAUUGCAGCUGCAGCAGUCCAAACAGCUGCAACAGUGUCGGCUUGUAGCCAGCCGAACACGCCCGGACGAUGGAGGAGCCGAGCGUCCGAUGAGACGCGAUGACUUGUCGCGCUCGCGCCAGGUACGACAAGUGUUCCUACCGUUCGCAUUGCAGGCUUGCGGCAGCUCGUACACACGCACUAACUAUUUUGAAGCCGAAAUUUUGAAAGUAGGGUGAAAAAAGAGAGAAAAAAAUGUUUGGCUUUAAGUUGAGUACACGACACAUGGCACAUAUGUUCAGGACAAAUAAAACAAGAGAUCAAUACUGUUAUAUUACAUGAAAACAUGGGACGACAUCACAGAUCCAUCCAGCCGCCGGCAGGCCCACGGGACAGCGACGUGCUGGGAUCGGUCGAGCUCACCUAAUGAUUUGUGCCUUCGGACGUGGACAACUCGCACGCCAAUGUUGCCAUGCGUUGCGUGCUCGAUCACAGUGGCAUCAGUAGCACAAGAGGCGUGUGCUCGUGCUCGUGGACGUGGAGUAAGAGUAACGGCGGCGCCGGCCUCUGCCCGUGACUCCCGGACCCGGUUGGUGACAUGCACGCAUCAUCGACGGCCGCCAUGGAUGUCAAAGCAGUGCAGGCGCUGCCCACUAGCAAGAGACGGGAAGAGGAUGCUUUCCUUGGCGUGCGCCACAGCCACCAAGCUCAUCUUGUUAAGCUAUCCUUUCCCCUCUGCACAGGUGGACAGAUAGGUACAGAUGAUAUACAAUGGAGUACUCCUAGUAUAUAUGCCAAAGGGGCAUAGGUUGAUCCUUGUGACGUCACCACAGUUGGAACAGAAAAGAGAAAAGACAUCCUUUUUUGUUCUCUCAAAGUCAGAGAGAGAGAGAGAGAGAGAGAGUAAAAUCUUCAAUCCCAAUCCGUGAGAAAGACCGUGGCCUGGAAUUAUUUCCAUGCUCAGAGCUCCGAUCAACAAAAGAUAGUGGGUGGGGGAGGGGGAAGGCGCCGUUCUGAUCCAGCUUCAGUUGAUUGGCAGCUCGAGGAGGAGGAUUGGCUGAUCUGAGAUGGUCGAAUGAAUCAUGUGAGAUCCGAAUUAUUAUCUAGAGAAAUGUACGUAAAAUGUAACAAAUGGGAGGCUCGAUUUGAUGAGGACUGAGGAGUCCAUUGACUGCUGCUACUAAUUCUAUGUACUACUCAAUGCAUACAUACAUGCUGUUCUUUGGAGGCACCGUCGAUGGUGCAUUGCUUAGUUGCUUCGAUGCAUGAUUUCAGAAAGUAAAACUCUAUCUAAGCUACCCUCCGCCGGACGCCGGCAAGGUUCAGCCAGGUCACCUGGCGUCGCCGGCGGUGCUGCUGAACCCGAUGUCGUGGCCGCCCCUCCGCAGCGUGCUGGUGAGCGACGACGAGCUGAGCGAGUCCGAGGACGAGUCCGACAGGGCGAGCCCCAGCAUGGCGUUGUAGUCCGACACGCUGUCCUGCAGGCUGAGCAGCAGCUGCUGGUUGUUAGCGCUGCUGAGGCUCAUGGACGGCCGGGCCGCCGGCACGAACGGCGGGUCCGCCUCGCCGCCCAGCACCUGCACCACGGCGCGCAUCCCGGGCCGCAGCGCCGGCUCCGGGCUGGAGCACGCCAGCCCCAGCAGCAGCACGCGCCUCGCCUCGCCCUCCUCGAACUCCCCGCCCAGCCGCGGGUCCACCGCGUCCAGCAGCCGGGCCUCCCCGUGCAGGCUCCACACCCACUCCACCAGGUUGCCGCCCUCGGCCGUGCCGGCGGCGCCGAUCGGCCGCCGCCCGCACGCCACCUCCAGCGCCAGCACGCCGAAGCUGAACACGUCGGUGCACUCGGUGGCGCGGCCCGUCAGGAGGUACUCGGGCGCCAGGUACCCCAUGGUGCCCGCCGCCGCCGUCGCGUCGGGGGACUCGCCGUGCUCCGCCUGCCGCGCCAGCCCGAAGUCCCCCAGCCGCGCGCGGUAGGCCUCGUCCAGCAUCACGUUGCUGGACUUGACGUCGCGGUGGACCACGCGCCGCUCGCACUCGUGGUGGAGGUACGCCAGCGCCGACGCCACGCCGGCCAGGGCCUCGCGCCGGUGGCGCCACGGCAGCACGGGCGCCGACGCGUCGAACAGCGCCCGGUCCAGGCUGCCGUUGCGCAUGUAGUCGUACACCAGCAGGAUCUCCCCCUUCUCGUAGCACCACCCCUGCAGCCGGAGCAGGUUGCGGUGCCGGAGCCCCGCGAUGAUGGACAGCUCCGACAGGAACUCCGACCGCGCCUGCUCGCCGCUCGCGUUGCCUCCGCCGCGCGCGCCGGUGCUGCUGCAGCGCUUCACGGCCACCAUGGCGCCCGUGUCCGGCACGAUGCCCUUGUACACGGUGCCGAACGCGCCGUUGCCGAUGACGCGGGACGCGUCGAAGCCCCGCGUGGCGGCGCUCAGCUCCUUGUAGCUGAACUCCCGCGGGGACCGCGCCAGCGCCGCCGCCGACGCCACGUUGCUGUCGCGCUUGGUGCCCACCGCCAGCGCGGUCUGGCGCCUCCUGGCCUUGGCGCGGCGCGCCAGCACCCAGACCGCCACGCCCGCGAACGAGGCCGCCACGAAGGCGCCCGCCGUGGCGGCGCCGGCCACGGCCGCGUGCACGGGCGGGCGCGGGCCGGCAUUCCUCCCCGCUGCGGCGCCCGACGGUGCGAUCGAGCCGGCCGGCGCAGCGACACUGCCUGUCGGCGGCGGCGGCGGCGGCGCCGUCGUCGUCGUCACUCCCGGGAGCACCUGGUUGGAAACGGGAGGCGGGAGCGCAGGGGACUCGGGCGGCGCCGAACGUGGGGACGGGGCCGGCGACGCGGUGGAGAAGCUCCACCACUCGAUGGCGUGCGCCUCCGUGCUCCCCUGCGUGGAGGCGGAGAAGCCGACGAACGCGGCGUCCUUGACGUCCUCGCUGAGGUCGAGCGGCGCGGACAGGACGGGCCUGGGCGGGCGCUUGGGUGCGUAGGACACGAAGACCUCCAAGGUACCGCCAGAACCGGGGGAAGCAGAGGGGUGGUAGUCGAUCCAGGCGUUGACGGUCCUCCCGCUGGCGAGGACGACGCCGGCGGCGCCGAGGUCGGCUGCGGCGGCGGAGACCAUGGAGCCGAGAUCCAGGGCGACGUGGUUGCCGUUGGGGUCGGCGAACUGGGCGUCCAUGAGCGUGUCGAACUCGACGGCGGCGGCGUCGGUGGCGACGGACACGCCGAUGUAGGCGCCCGCGUCGCCGAGCGUGGCCCCGUCGGUGGCGAGCACGAAGGCCAGCCCCCCGCCGACGGAGGACGGGUUGAGCGUGGCCACGGUGAAGGCGAACUGCGUG
rnacentral:misc_RNA from 1 species